rnacentral:rRNA from 1 species
GACGAACGCUGGCGGCGUGCCUGAUACAUGCAAGUAGAACGCACAGUUUAUACCGUAGCUUGCUACACCAUAGACUGUGAGUUGCGAACGGGUGAGUAACGCGUAGGUAACCUGCCUGGUAGCGGGGGAUAACUAUUGGAAACGAUAGCUAAUACCGCAUAAUAUUGAUUAUUGCAUGAUAAUUGAUUGAAAGAUGCUAUUGCAUCACUACCAGAUGGACCUGCGUUGUAUUAGCUAGUAGGUGAGGUAACGGCUCACCUAGGCGACGAUACAUAGCCGACCUGAGAGGGUGAUCGGCCACACUGGGACUGAGACACGGCCCAGACUCCUACGGGAGGCAGCAGUAGGGAAUCUUCGGCAAUGGACGAAAGUCUGACCGAGCAACGCCGCGUGAGUGAAGAAGGUUUUCGGAUCGUAAAGCUCUGUUGUAAGAGAAGAACGGGUGUGAGAGUGGAAAGUUCACACUGUGACGGUAUCUUACCAGAAAGGGACGGCUAACUACGUGC